CCUCCUCCUCUCUCUCUCUCUCGAUCUCCUAUGCCUCGCACGCCGCCACCGCUCGCCCUCGCGCCGCCGCCGCCUCCGCUCGCCCUCGCGCCGCCCCCUUGCCUCUCUCUCUCCCUCCAAGCCCUAGAACCUCACCCGCGCCUCCCAGCUCCACCGCCGUCCAGGUCCAGCCCCAUGCCACCGUCGUCUUCUCGCCCAGCCGUCCGCCACCACACCGCACGCUCGUGCGCAGGGGCGAGAAGGGGAACCACCGCCCGCUCCCGGAGCGCGAGGAGGACGUGGUGAUGCAGCGCCCAGAUCCACGACGGCAUCAACGCGCCGUCGUCGACCUGAGCCACCACCGUCCUCGAGGCCGGCCAUGGAGUGGGGGUCUGACCCAGGUACAGCCGUGGACGGAGACACCCCAAACCCUAGCAUUGCUGCUGCUGGUCAAGGUGCACGCACGCGUCCAGCAGCGAACCCUAGCCUCGGACGACAGCAGCGGCCAUCACCAAUGAUGGCAGCGACAGGGGGUGAAUUAGUUCUGCAAGUCAACCCCUUUUCUCCUCCUUUCCACUCUUGUCUGGUGCUUAUGUGGGACUCCAAUAGUUUUUUGGACGUGUUGGCUGGUCGGAUGCGGCAAUUUUUUUGGAUGCAUUAGCUAUUCGAGCCUGGAUAUGGUCUGUUUCCUUUUGUGAAAUUAGGGGAUCUGCUUGGGUCGUAGUUGGAUUCUGUUGGUUUAAGAUAUUUCACUGGUCUGACUAUUGGUUUGGGUUAGUCCCAGAUUUAGGUGUUUCUCUUGAUGAUUAAUUGUUGGAUUACAUUAUGUUACAAUAUGACGCAGAUUUGUUGCCAUUCGGGGUUAGUCCCAGAUUUAGGUGUUUCUCUUGAUGAUUAAUUGUUGGAUUACAUUAGGUUAGAAUAUGACGCAGAUUUGUUGCCAUUCGGGUUAGUACCUGCUUUAGUUCUUUUUCUUAAGGAUUAGUUGCAUGAAUCACAUGCCUGGUUAAUUUAACGGAUUGUACCUUUCGUGGUUGCUGUUCAGUGGGUUUAGGAGCCAUUCUUAGGUGCUUGAUUGGAGCUUGUUAGGUGAAGGUGAUGAGAUGGAUUGUGCAUGGGCUCUGUUCUUGGAAAUUGUCUGCCUGAAUGGAUUGGUUAACCCAAGCUCUUCCUUGUCCGUUUAUCUUCGGGGUUGGACAUCUGACAAGUUGGUUGGGAAAAUAUAAGACAAUCUGUGUUGCUGUAGGUGUGGUUCUGACGUUCUUGGAAUCAAUGUACUAUUUUCAGGGGCUGGAUUUGUCUGUAAUCGAUUAGGCCUUGCAAAAGAGAGGUGGGGAACAGGUUAUUCGUGGGCUUCUGUUGUUGGAUUCUUAGAUGGUGUCAUUGUUGAUUUGUUUUCAUUGGUCCUUUCUUAAUUGUUUGCCUUGGCGGUCAGUGAGGUUGCAUGGUUGGUUAAGAACAUGGGUGGUCUAUGCCUGUUGUGGGUGCAGUUGUUUGUAUUAGAGUAUUGUCCUCAAGUGCUAGAUUAAUUUGGUCCUUGCUUAGCAAUGUAAUCACAGGAAUGGAUAGGUCACAUGGUUGAUUAGAAAAAGAGCACUGGGUUAGUCUCUGAUUUGGUUCUUUGUCUUUAGGAUUCACUGCACGCUGAAUUAUGUAAGGCUAAAAUGUGUCCCAAAUUUCUUGGUUCGAGUGUUUGGCUUGAGGGUUGAUUGUUGGCCUGGGUUGGUCUCUGAUUUAGUUCUUUAGCUUAAGGAUUGAUUGCAUGGCUGGUUAGUAUAAUUAAGAUUAAUUGUUGGUCUGGGUUAGUCUCUGAUUUCGUUCUUUGCCUCAAGGAUUAAUUAUAUUGUCCUGUUAUUCUUGAAGGUUAACAGUGGUGAUGGACAGUGUUGGCCGUGAGCUAUUUUUAGGCUAGAAAUUAUUUCUUUCUUAUGAAGGUUAAUUAUAUUCACAACAUCAUAUCUCGGAAAAGAGCGGUUACGAAUUUGUUUAGUGUCAGGAGUGCAAUGGAUUAUGAUCAAUUAAGACAAAUCUAUGGACAAUCGUUACAAAUGUGACUAUUUCAUUGCCUGCAAAUUUAGUACUUACUCUUAUUUCCAGGAUUGUUGGUCGGUUCUAUUGCUAUUUAUUGUGCAAGGACCCUCUUUUGCUGGCCUCGUUCUUCUGCACUGUGUACCCUCUUUUGUUGGAUCAGCCUUUUAGAUGAUUUGCCAGUGUGUGUGUGCUCUUGGUAUAAUGAUGUGAUGAACUAAUUGAUCCUACUUAGGAGGUAGGAUCACUAUUUACCUUUAUUGUCGCGAUUACAUGUGGUGUGUCUUUCUUUGAUGUGUGUGUUGGCAUGCUGCCUUUGAUUAUAUUUGGGUCUGUACAAUAUGUUAUGUGCUUAUCAUGAUUGCUAGACCAUGGCCUGCUCUGAUUAGUCUUUGCAUUUUUUUGCAUUUUCUAUUUGUUGUAGAUAACAUUCAAUGCACUGUCUGAAGUGCGUCCGUGUAACUCGCUCUAGCAUACCCUGUGUGUGCAUAUCACGUCUGUGGCAUCACCAUGGUGGAACCGAAAAUGGACCUAUCAAGGAGAUGGAUGUGGUUAUACUAGAUGCAGGGUAACCAUAUGUAUGCAGAGAUGCCUGAGAAAUUUGUUAACCAAUUUAUAUGUGUCCCCCAAGAGUGUGGGUUGAUGAUCUGUCGCAAGUUUCUGGUCUUUCUCAAGAAGUAUGUCUUCGGGCUGGUGGAGAGUCAAUACAUGAUUAAGUUCACUAGGUAUACAACUGUUGCGUGAUGGGAGGGUCUAGAAGCAGAAUUUCCUUUCUGCACCUAUGUCCUGACUCCAAUUAAUCAGCUCCCAAGGCCUACAAACACGCCUGAGCGUUUCACAGAUGUGGUUGGGAUUAUCCCAGGUUUCUUUGUUCUUUCAUGUUGGAAUCAGUGACAAUACCUUGCCGGCACUCCUCGUAUUCUCUCCACUAUGUUUGGCUAAGGUUGCAAAGGUGGGUACGAGGAGAUGAGUCUCGUGGCGGUGAGCGGAACGGAGACAAGGAUGGCGACUUUAUGCUUCUCGGAGACCUCAUCUGGAGGUGGUGGCCAAAGGCAAAUGGUACAGAACCUCCAUGAGAUUUUGAAUUCUGCUUGAUGCAUACAAGAAAGGAUAUUGUGAACAUUUGGUUCAUUUUGGUUGUGGAUUGACCUAUGUUGUGCAAGGAAACAUGUUGUCACGCCUUCAAAAACCUUUCCAUGCUCAGCAUUAUCGACGACCUUUCUGAUUUGGAGUUGUACUUCGUUAUUGUGAAUAAUGAAUAUGGUCAACAAUCUGAAGAAGAGUCACCUUCUGCCGAGAGAGUGAUGCGUGUUACUGCCGGGAGAGCUGCUUCUUGCCGGGAGAGUGAUAUCAACCUGCGAUGUGUUAAGCGGAUCACUGUGUAACUGAAUGAUCAAUCAGAGAAGAGUAUUUUUCCACCAAAAGUGAGGCCAAUUUGUUUGUUUUUGGUUGUGGCAGACCAUUUUCAGUCAAAUUGAGAAACAACUGCCUUUUGGUCUCGGCCCAUAACCAGCCGUGAAAGAUGAGAUGUUUAUGCUGCCCUUCUACCUUCCUCCCUGUCCCUACUUUUCCCCAUCGUGUGUUGGUCUCUCUGAAGUAAAAUAAACAUGAAACCAUAUGCUGAAAAGUGGGGUGAUAAAUAUCCAGUUACUAAAUUCACUAAAUUUGUGAUCCCAAUAGUGUGAUCAAAAUAGUGAAAUGUCAGGGUUUGCUCUACUGCAAAUUUGCAGUUUACUUGAACUUUGUUGUGAUGAGCAAUUCCGAUUAGUGCAUCACCUUUUGGAUCUGUUUUUUGCGCGAGAACGGAUCCGACCAGAAUUCAUCUUCUUUAUGAACGGGAUCUCGGACAUCUUUUUUGAAGGAAGUUUUCGUAUGGGGUGUUGUGUUUUAUUUUUAAUAGUAUUAAAAGUAUUCUUGCAAUACGAACUUCACCAUUGUGCCGGUGUCAAACCAGCCCGACAACAUCACUCCACGGCGGCCGACCUGCGUUAGACACGUCGUCGCUUUGUUGAGCCGAGCUUAAUUUCUUCGUAUCAUCAUCUCGGCCGGCCGAACAAUAGUUCGGCAUCGUGAAAGAUAAAUCGUCACCAACAUCGCCGCCCUAUAGAUUACACGGAGCGGGCACACCUACAUCGCCACACGGUCACUUC